rnacentral:rRNA from 1 species
UACGAAGGGGGCUAGCGUUGUUCGGAAUCACUGGGCGUAAAGGGCGCGUAGGCGGCUUGAUAAGUCGGGGGUGAAAGCCUGUGGCUCAACCACAGAAUUGCCUCGAUACUGUCUGGCUUGAGACCGGAAGAGGUAAGUGGAACUGCGAGUGUAGAGGUGAAAUUCGUAGAUAUUCGCAAGAACACCAGUGGCGAAGGCGGCUUACUGGUCCAUAACUGACGCUGAGGUGCGAAAGCGUGGGGAGCAAACAGG